rnacentral:rRNA from 1 species
GAACGCUCACCGGGGUUUCGGCUCUGGUGGGAGUGGCGCACGGGUGAGUAGCGCGUGGGAACCUGCCCUUUUGUGGGGGAUAACCGAGGGAAACUUCGGCUAAUACCGCAUGCGCCCCUGGGGCGACCUGGGGGGAAAGAUUUAUCGCCGAGGGAUCGGCCCGCGUCCGAUUAGCUAGUUGGUGAGGUAACGGCUCACCAAGGCGACGAUCGGUAGCUGGUCUGAGAGGAUGAUCAGCCACACUGGGACUGAGACACGGCCCAGACUCCUACGGGAGGCAGCAGUGGGGAAUAUUGGACAAUGGGCGCAAGCCUGAUCCAGCCAUGCCGCGUGAGUGAUGAAGGCCCUAGGGUUGUAAAGCUCUUUCGGCGGGGAAGAUAAUGACGGUACCCGCAGAAGAAGCCCCGGCUAACUUCGUG